rnacentral:rRNA from 1 species
UACGAGUGCCUCGAGCGUUAUCCGGAAUCAUUGGGCGUAAAGGGUGUGUAGGCGGUCUCAUAAGUCGGGGGUGAAAGCCCGAGGCUCAACCUCGGAACUGCCUUCGAUACUGCGGGUCUCGAGUCCGGGAGAGGUGAGUGGAAUUCCUAGUGUAGAGGUGAAAUUCGUAGAUAUUAGGAAGAACACCAGUGGCGAAGGCGGCUCACUGGCCCGGUACUGACGCUGAGGCGCGAAAGCGUGGGGAGCAAACAGG